AUGUCCAGGGAUGGGAAUCGAACCCACAGUGUUCCGCUUACCGGGCAGAUGCCAUGUCCACUAGGCA